UACGAGGGGUGCAAGCGUUGCUCGGAAUUAUUGGGCGUAAAGGGUAGGUAGGUGGUCUCAUUUGUCUGGGGUGAAAGCCUCGAGCUUAACUCGAGAAGUGCCUCGGAAACGGUGAGACUAGAGUCUUGGAGAGGGUCGUGGAAUUCCCGGUGUAGCGGUGAAAUGCGUAGAGAUGUGGAGGAACACCGGUGGCGAAGGCGGGUCUCUGGGCAGUAACUGACGCUGAGGAGCGAAAGCGUGGGGAGCGAACAGG
rnacentral:rRNA from 1 species